rnacentral:rRNA from 1 species
CCCUUAGAUGUCCUGGGCCGCACGCGCGCUACACUGAACGGAUCAGCGCGUUUUCCCUUCCCGAGAGGGACGGGUAACCUGCUGAACCCCGUUCGUGGUAGGGAUCGGGGCUUGCAAUUAUUCCCCGUGAACCAGGAAUGCCCAGUAGGUGCAAGUCAUAAGCUUGCGUUGAUUACGUCCCUGCCCUUUGUACACACCGCCCGUCGCUACUACCGAUUGAACGUUUUAGUGAGGUACUCGGACUGAGCCUCAGAAGAUUCACGUCUUUUGUGCUGCUCGGGAAGAUUCCCAAACUUGAGCGUUUAGAGGAAGUAAAAGUCGUAACA